rnacentral:rRNA from 1 species
CCUACGGGAGGCAGCAGUGGGGGAUAUUGCACAAUGGGGGGAACCCUGAUGCAGCGACGCCGCGUGGGUGAAGAAGCGCCUCGGCGCGUAAAGCCCUGUCAGCAGGGAAGAAAAUGACGGUACCUGAAGAAGAAGCCCCGGCUAACUACGUGCCCUCAGCCGCGGUAAUCCGUAGGGGGCAAGCGUUAUCCGGAUUUACUGGGUGUAAAGGGGGCGCAGACGGCGAUGCAAGCCAGGAGUGAAAGCCCGGGGCCCAACCCCGGGACUGCUCGUGGAACUGCGUGGCUGGAGUGCAGGAGGGGCAGGCGGAAUUCCUGGUGUAGCGGUGAAAGGCGUAGAUAUCAGGAGGAACACCGGUGGCGAAGGCGGCCUGCUGGACUGCAACUGACGUUGAGGCCCGAAAGCGUGGGGAGCAAACAGGAUUAGAUACCCGGGUAGUC